GCUCAUGUCUGUAAUGCCAGUACUUUGAGAGGCCAAGGCAGGAGGAUUGCUUGAGGCCAAGAGUUGGAGACCAGCCUGGACAAGAUUCUCUCAACAAAAUAAUUUUUUAAAAUAAAAAUAAAUAAGAAAUAAAAGCCAAGAGGUACAAUGUUCAGGAGAAGAAUAAAAAUACUUGCAGAAAUAUAUACACACUUCCCAAUUUUUUUUUUAUUUUCCACUUACUGAAACAUUGUGGAAAAAAAAAUUAACAUUGAAAAACACAUUUUUCGACCAGGUGCAGUGGCUCAUGCCUGUAACCCCACCCAGCACUUUGGGAGGCCAAAGGCAGGUGGGUCACCUGAUGUCAGGAGUUUGAGACCAGCCUGACCAACAUGGUGAAACCCUGUCUCUACUAAAUAUAAAAAAUUAGCCAGACGUGGUGGUGGAUGCCUGUAAUCGCAGCUACUUGGGAGGCUGAGGCAGGAGAAUCGCUUGAGCCCAGGAGGCGGAGGUUGCAGUUAG
rnacentral:lncRNA from 1 species